rnacentral:ncRNA from 1 species
UGCAUGUCUUAAAACACAAUCAAUGCAAAGUCUGCAAUGAAAGAAGGCUGAGCAACGGCUACUACAUCCAAGGAGGGCAGCAGGCGUGCAAACUACCCCCUCCUGACCCAGGGAGGUAGUGAUGAAAAAUAACAAUACAGGACUCUUUUAAGGCCCUGUAAUUGCAAUGAGAACACAUUAAAUCCUAGGAUCGUGCAUGUG